CACUCCUGCGGGAGGCAGCAGUGGGGAAUUUUGGACAAUGGGCGAAAGCCUGAUCCAGCAAUGCCGCGUGUGUGAAGAAGGCCUUCGGGUUGUAAAGCACUUUUGUCCGGAAAGAAAUCCUUGGCUCUAAUACAGUCGGGGGAUGACGGUACCGGAAGAAUAAGCACCGGCUAACUACGUGACAGCAGCCGCGGUAAUACGUAGGGUGCGAGCGUUAAUCGGAAUUACUGGGCGUAAAGCGUGCGCAGGCGGUUUGCUAAGACCGAUGUGAAAUCCCCGGGCUCAACCUGGGAACUGCAUGGGUGACUGGCAGGCUAGAGUAUGGCAGAGGGGGGUAGAAUUCCACGUGUAGCAGUGAAAUGCGUAGAGAUGUGGAGGAAUACCGAUGGCGAAGGCAGCCCCCUGGGCCAAUACUGACGCUCAUGCACGAAAGCGUGGGGAGCAAACAGGAUUAGAUACCCUAGUAGUCCCA
rnacentral:rRNA from 1 species